GGGUCGGUAGCUCAGUUGGUUAGAGCAGCGGACUUUUAAUCCGUUGGUCGGGAGUUCGAGUCUCCCCCGACCCACCA
rnacentral:tRNA from 2 species